GAUGAACGCUGGCGGCGUGCCUAAUACAUGCAAGUAGAACGCUGAAGCUUGGUGCUUGCACCGAGCGGAUGAGUUGCGAACGGGUGAGUAACGCGUAGGUAACCUGCCUGGUAGCGGGGGAUAACUAUUGGAAACGAUAGCUAAUACCGCAUAACAGUCGACAUUGCAUGAUGUUGAUUUGAAAGGGGCAAUUGCUCCACUACCAGAUGGACCUGCGUUGUAUUAGCUAGUUGGUGAGGUAACGGCUCACCAAGGCGAUGAUACAUAGCCGACCUGAGAGGGUGAUCGGCCACACUGGGACUGAGACACGGCCCAGACUCCUACGGGAGGCAGCAGUAGGGAAUCUUCGGCAAUGGACGGAAGUCUGACCGAGCAACGCCGCGUGGGUGAAGAAGGUUUUCGGAUCGUAAAGCUCUGUUGUAAGAGAAGAACGAGUGUGAGAGUGGAAAGUUCACACUGUGACGGUAACUACCAGAAAGGAC
rnacentral:rRNA from 1 species